rnacentral:tRNA from 1 species
GGUUGUAUAGCGUGCUCCAGCGGUUAGGCAUAUGCCUAAUAAGCCUACUUGUUUUAGGUUCAACUCCUGCUUCGACCU